AACGAACAGGCCGGAACUGAAUGUCUCGUCGCGAUUGUUGACGAAAACGCCCUCGUUGCCAUAGUGAAGCCGCUGUCGCCAUUUUUAUUGUGGUUGACCGACGCUUGUGUCAGCCUGUGAGGAAAUGAGUAGCAAGGAGUUCUAUGAGCUGACUACAAAUUAGUCGGUGUCCUGUGGAAGCCUCUUACGUUCUAUUUAAUGCUAAUCAUGGCUCUAAAGAGAAAAGUCAACGUGAAAUAGAAUUUGGAGAAAGGCUUCCCGGAACCUAAUGCUACUUUCCGGUCAUCAGCUUAUUUGCUCUAAGUGAAGCGUCAGAAGUAGCGCCCCCAGUUCCCCUUUCUUGAACAGAAGUGGCCCAGGAAACAAGUGGAUGGGAGUCAGAGGGCCUAAGUUCAGGUAAAUCAUGCCACCUGGCAAAACUGGACUCUCCACCUGUGAAGUGGAAAUUACCUUAGCUGUCUGCAGAGGAUUGCUAGUCAUUAGAGGGAUCAUCUGUAAAAUGUUUUGACAAUCAAGGGUAGAGACUCAAAGGGCAUCUACUAUAAACUAGAAAGCUGAAUUGGUUAGAGGGCAAGGCUUUGAUGUGGAUGAAUAGGACAAAGGAGAAUUCCCUAGAGAUACAUUCAAAUAAUGAAAUAAGGACAAACAAGCCCUAUUCCUUUUACUGACCUCCUGCCAUUCUCAGAUAAUUUUUUUUUUUCAGAUCCCUCUGUUUGGGAAAUACAAAGCUAUGGCUAAAACUCUUGUUUCGCAACAGCUAUUGAGUAUCACUCAAGUUGUUAAUGUUUUUCAGUUUCAACUAAGAUCCCAUGGAGACACAUUGAGCAGGACUAGGAUAAAAAACUGGGUUUCCUCCAUACAUCCUUGAGACUAACUAUUCCCAUGUAGGCUGACUUAAUGGCUUCUAACCUCAAGUACCUAGGAAUCUUUGCCGGGUGGUUUUCUCAGGCCACCACAACUGGCUUAGCGCACAUGCAGAUCAGGUUAGAAGUGCUGGGGGAAUGACCAGUGGAAGCUGAUGAAUGUCUCAAGUUCCUCAUACCUUAGUGGGAAUGCUUUCAAGGUGCAUUCAUACUGCCUCUUAGAGUCCCCUCAGGAUUUCAGUUUUUCUGUAAUCAUCUCCAUGUCUUGCACUUUCAAGUUUUCCUCUUUCCUUCUUUCCCUCUGUCUCUUGGAUCACUUCCAUCAAUAUACAAACACGUUGCCAUUUGCCUUCUUUAAUAACCUCUCUCAAUGCUUCAUCUCUAUGAAUAUUCCCGUGUUCUUAUCUCCUACUCAGACUUCCACCCUGAAAUCCCAAGUCCAGUAUCAUUUGUAUCUUGAUAUCUCAACUUGGCAUCUAGUAGACAAUGCAUACUUAGUAUGUUUGAAACAUAUUUCUUUUUGCCACUAUCUCCCAUGUAACCAAUGGCAUCAUGCUAUCUACCAUCCAACCAUUUAGUCAUUAACACAGUUUAUAAAUUAUCUUUAAUUGCCCACCCCACAUUUUCCUCAUCUCUCUAAAGCUGUUUGGUAGCUGCCAAGGAUUUAUAUAUCCUGAAUACUGUAAAAUUUAAGACAAAUCUGCAAAAAGUUCAAGGAAAACCCAUGUCAUGAAAAACUCUCUUGAAUUUCGAGUUUUUUGCACCCAAAUGAGCUUAUCAUUUAGUUCCAUUUUUCCACAAACUUUCUGAAGUCCUCUCAUAUACCAAGUUAGUCAACCUCUCUUGAUUUCUUCCACCACCUUCUAAGCACAUGAAUUGUGCAGAUAUAUCCUUAUCAAACAGGAUUUGUUUUCCAAAAUAUAAUUUCUGAUCAUAUCCUCCCUGCUGACAAAUUCUUCCUUUCUAACCAUUGUUAAUGUAAUAAGGUCAUUCCCAGGCCUACCAGGCCAGGCAUGAUUUGGAUCUUAAAUCUCAGCCUGAGAUGGAACUGUUCCCAGGAUAAAGACACGCAGGGACACUUAUCUCUUUUCACUUCCAAAAAUAGGCCAAGGCUUUUCUCGUGCCUCUGUCUAUACACUUGCUGUUUUCUUGGUUUGAAACACCCUUUUCCUAGAUUAUGCAAUGGCUGGGAAUUUGUCUUAAGGUCAUCUACUUAUAGGCCUCUAUUAAACACUUUCUCUGAAAGUUUCAUUCUCCUUAGUUUACUGUUGUGUCUAUUUAAUCCUCUGUUGAUUUCUUCUUUAUUCCUUAUUUGUUGUUUGUUUAUUCUUAAAUGUCUCUCUCAGUAACAACAACAAGUAGUGUUCUUUCUCUGUCUACUGCUAUAUCCCCAGAAUUUCAGUCAUUGUCCAAUAUAGUAGUACUAAGAGAACGGCCACUUUGAACACCAAGAGACUUGUGCACUUUUGUAGCCAUACAAGGAGCAAUCCAUAUCCAUGAGUGUAGAAAUUAUCAGAAGGUUAGAAAACGAUUGAUAAACUCAAAUAGUCCAUGCUAUUUAAGUGAAUGAUGAUAAAUACUUCAGAGGAAAUAUUAUACAGUUAUCAGUAUAAUGGUCAUAAAAGUUUUUGUUUUUUAUUUGAGCAAGUGCUGAGAGAGAAAGAGAGACAGAGAGAGAGGGAGAGAGAAAGAGAACGAGCUCUCAUCCACUAAUUUACCACAAAUGCCUGCAAUGGCUGGAGCUGGGCUGGGCCAACACCAAGAACUCAAUCUGGGUUACCCAUGUGAGUGGCAGGGACCCAACUAUCUGAAUCAUCACUGCGGCCUCCCAGGGUGCGCAUUAGCAGGAAACAAAUUGGGAACCAAACUUAGGUACUUUGAUAUGAGAUGAGGGCAUCCUAACCAACAGCUUAACCGUCAGGCCAAGUGCCCAGCCCUAUACAAAUUUUAAUGACAGAGGAAGUUAUAUAGGCUACGCCUUAGAUGGUGGCAUACUAUAUAUGUAUGUAUAUAGCAAGUUUAUUAGGGUAUGCUCUAAAAUGUGAUUCAAGUGAUUUUCUAUAUGUGAAGCAAUUAUAGAUGAUUCAAGUUUUCUAUAUUUUUCUCUAGUUACAAAUUAUAUGUGAUAACCAAAUGUCAUUUUUUUAAAGAUUUAUUGCAAAAUCAGUGAAAGAAAGUGAGACACUCACACAUACACAUACACAUAUGCAUACACAUACACAUACAAAGAGGGAGAGAGGGAGAGAGAGAAUAUGAAUCUUCCAUUCACUGGACCACAACCCAAAUAGCCACAACAGCCAGGUCUUGGCCAGUUUGAAGCCAGAAACCAGAGAAUUCCAUCCUGGUCUUCCACGUUGGUAGCAGUGGCCCAAGCACUAGGGCCAUCCUUUGCUGCCUUCCCAGGCAUGUUAGCAGAAGUUGGAUUGGAAGUGGAGCAGCUGGGGCUGGCGCUGUGGCUCAGCAGGUUAACACUCUGGACUGAAGCCCUGGCAUCCCAUAUAGGUGCCGGUUUGAGACUUGGCUGCUCCACUUCCAAUCCAGCUCUCUGCUAUGGCCUGGGAAAGCAGUAGAAGAUGGCCCAAGUCCUUGGGGCCCCUGCACCCACGUGGGAGACCCAGAAGAAGCUCCUGGCUCCUGGCUUCGGAUUGGCACAACUUCGGCCGUUGCGGCCAAUUGGGGAAUGACCAUCGGAUGGAAGACCCUCUCUUUCUCUCUUCUCUCUGCCUCUCCUCUCUCUGUGUAACUCUGACUUUAAAAUAAAUAAAUCUUAAAAAAGAAAAAGUGGAGCAGCCAAUACUAGAACCAGCACUCUGACAUAGGAUGCCAGCAUCGCAGGCACUGGCUUAAUUCACUGUGCCACAAGGCUGGUUCCCAAAAUGUUAUUUUUAAAUCUUUAGAAAAUCUCUGAUGCAUUAAGGAAAUUUUUUCUGGGUCCCAUUCAAAUGAAAACUCCCUUUAGUUUUCUAUUUGUGGCAGGGGAUGGGAGAAGUCAUAUGCAAAAGGUGUUCUUUCUCUAGGUUUCUUCCUCACCCAAAGCCAGUCUGGAACUUUGAAUGAUAAUUAAAAUAUCAUAUAUAGACUUUGACACAGGUUACACCUAGCUUUUUAUCUGAGCCACAAAACUGGAGUAUGUGACUUGAAAGCUAGAUCAAUGCUGCAGCAUUGGAAAUGGUUCUUUUAAAAAGUUGCAGAUAUGCAAAGAAGCUGCACUUGUAGGUGACCACCUUCACCCACCAUCACUCAAGCAUGUGAGCUUAUCAGUACCAUCAUUUGAGCUCAUUACAAUUAGAAUGAUGCAGAAGCAGCCAGCAGGGACAACAAUAAGAUAGUAGACAAGCCAGGGGAACAAUUAUUUAGUAAAGGAGAGGUAGACUCGGGGAAUUCAUUGGAGAGGGGGAAGAGUGGUGGGCAAACUGUCGCAUAUUGUCUCUUCCAAAAUGGCCAGAAUGACUUUAUUCUACAAUAAUCUCAGUCAGAGAAGCUCCAGCUGGAGAUGUGUUUGUGUUCCCAGCCUCCUCUCAAUGGGGUGCAAACAUAUUGAAGGGACCCAGCCCCCUCACAGGACAGGCUGUGUGCCUUCUUUAAGGGCUUUGCUUCCUGCAAACCAUCAGAGUCCCUGUGGGAAGGAGGUUCUGAAUUUGCCUGGGCUGGCUGUGCCCAAGGGCUCUCCACCCAGCCCCCUCCCCACCCCCCAAUCCAUCCCGAGAGGUCCUGGAGCCUGGAAAUAGCGAGGAAUAAUUGUUCCCCACUUUUCUCUCCUCCUAACUUUCUUCACUUUGCUUUCUGUACCCAGCAUGCCUUUCCCUUCCUCUGAGUGCCUCCUCCCUUGUUCCUUGGUUUUGGCACUCCUUCUGCACCUUUUGCCAACCUGCCCUGCCCCACUCAGUGCUAAGCUCAUUAGAGCAGGGGAAAUUGAACACAAUGCAGUUCUUUCCUUCACAGAAUGCAAUUUGAAAUUGUAGAUACAGUCAUACAUAACUUCAGUGCCACAGAUUCAGUGUUACUGAAGUUGCCAUUAGGAGUGCUUUGUGGUAGAGGGCUGGUCUCCUAGCCGCCAGAUCUGAAGGCAGGGAGCAGCCUUCACGGAUUUCAUCCAUGGAGCAGGCACCGAAAGUUAGAUUCUGUGAGUCAGGCAAACGGGGCCCAAAGAGCUUCCUUUGUGGAUUCUAUGCUGUUCUGACUAGCAGUGUACCACAGCAGUGCAUGGUGUAAAAUGCUUACUGAUUAUUUGGAAGAUCAUUAGUUGUAUCAGACCAUAUGGGAUUUGUUGUUGUUGCUGUUUCUGUUUACAAGUAAACUUCAAUUCCAAUGUGUACUCUGGGCAUACUUUCUUUUUUAAUUUCAAAUUUCCAGUAGCCUGCUUUUUUUUUUUAAUUUAUUUGUUUAUUUGAAAGUGAGAGUUACACAGAGAGAGGAGAGGCAGAGAGAGAGAGAGGUCUUCUAUCCGAUGGUUCACACCCCAAUUGGCCGCAACUGCUGGAGCUGCACUGAUCUGAAGCCAGGAGCCAGGAGCUUCUUCUGGGUCUCCCAUGUGGGUGCAGGGGCCCAAGGACUUGGGCCAUGUUCUCCUGCUUUCCCAGGCCAUAGCAGAGAGCUGGAUUGGAAGUGGAGCAUCCAGGUCUCGAACCCAGCACCCUUAUGGGAUGCCGGCGCUUCAGGCCAGGGCAUUAACCUGCUGCGCCAUGGUGCCGGCCCCCAGUAUCCUUCUUUUCCAACAUUACAGCAUCUACUACAGUUUUGCUCGCAUCAUGUUUUCCUAUUUGACUCUAUGAGCAAUUGUGAAGUCAGAGUGUACAUCUAUUUGCAUCACCACUGAAUUCCUAAGGCCUCUAUCAGGAAGUCAAACAGUUGUUUAAUGAGAAACGAUAUACUUUGCCCUUGUGAAAGCCAAGUUUCCAGCUCUCAGAAACUAUACUUUCAGUAAUGCUAAGCCAAUUUAAACAUGUGAAUAACAAAUAUGUUGCAUUUUAAAUAAGAUUGUGCGAAUUAGAGCUUUUCUCCCUUCUGAUAAUGUCUGCGGCCAGCCCAUUUUUGUUUAUGACAAUGAAAUUCUUCAUAUCAAAUGAAAAAAAAAGCUUUGUGAGCAUGGAGAAGAGACCAAAUCCUCUUCUCUUGCAUUUGUAGAACAUCUCCGAUUGCUUUUCCUCACCUCACCGAAUGCUCCUUCCUAGAGGUAUACAGUUCCCAGCUGUGUGGCCCAGAUGCCUCAAACUCAGCACUUCCCGUGUUCAACUCAACCAGUGUUCUCCCCAUUGCCAUGUAGCUCAGAGAUGCCCCUGCCCGUCUUCCAGUUGUUCAUGUAAGAUUUAGGACUUUAACUCAUGCCCACCAGUUCAUCUUCAUUUUUAAUAGACUUGACUUGAUGCAUAGUUCCCCACAGAACCCACUUCUGUGCAGUGACAUCAUCCUAAACCUGGUCUCUAAAUUGUCCUUCAGAUUUUUGAAACUUUAUUUGAAAGGCAGAGAGACAGAGACAGAGAUCUUUCAUUCACUGGUUCACUCUCCGAAUGGCCACAACAGCUAGGUUUGUGCCACGCUGAAGCCAGGAGCCAGGAACUCAGUGCAGUUCUCCCACAUGGUUGGCAGGAACCCAAGCGCCCUAGUCAUCAGCUGUUGCCUCCCAGGGAGUACAUUGGCAGGAAACUGGAUUGGAAGCAGAGGAGGGACUAGAACCCAUACACCUGAUAGGGGAUGCUGAUAUCCCAAGCUGUAUCUUGGCCACUAUGCCAAAUGCCCACCCACAAUCUCUGAAUUUUCUUAAAGCUUCCUGCAUGGAUCGCCUGCCUUGGUUUAUUUCAUUGGCAACAUACUAUUAUUUGAAUACGUUUAUUUUAUGCCAAUGUACUUGUGGUGAAAACCAAUGUAAUCAAGAAUUUUUUGCAGAAGCCUUACUUUAUUAUAUUCCCAGAGUGUCACAUUAUAGUGCAUACUCUGUCAAAAUUAGAUAUGUCAUUAUUGUACAUUGACUUUGAAUAAUGCAUAUUGUGGUACCUAGCACUUGUGGCUUUGUAAUAUCUAAAUUUAUGAAAACUUGAGAGAGAAAAGACAAAUUUAAUAAGAUGUCUGUAUGAAAGGUUCUCACCAUAAUUCAUUACUAGAUUUUUUUUUAUUUGACAUAUAGAGUUAGACAGUGAGAGAGAGAGAGACAGAGAGGAAGGUCUUCCUUCCAUUGGUUCACCCCCCAAAUGGCCACCUUGGCCUGUGUGUUGUGCCGAUCCGAAGCCAGGAGCCAUGUGCUUCUUCCUGGUCUCCCACACCAGUGCAGGCACCCAAGUACUUGGUCCAUCCUCCACUGCUUUCUCGGGCCACAGCAGAGAGCUGGACUGGAAGAGGAGCAACUGGGACUAGAACCCGGUGCUCAUAUGGGAUGCCUGUGCCGCAGGCGGAGGAUUAACCAAGAGAACCACAGUGCCAGCCCCUACUAGAUGUUAUUUUUUUAAUCUUUAUUUAUUUAUUUAUUUAUUUGAAAGUCAGAGUUACACAGAGAGAGAAGGAGAGGCAGAGAGAGAGAGAGAGAGAGAGAGUUCUUCCAUCUGAUGGUUCACUCCCCAAGAGGCCGCAAUGGCCAGAGCUGAGCCGAUCUGAAGCCAGGAGCUUCUUUUGAGUCUCCCACGCGGGUACAGGGCCCCAAGCACUUGGGCCUUCUUCCACUGUUUUCCCAGGCCAUAGCAAAGAGCUGGAUCAGAAGUGAAGUGGCCCAUAUGGAUUCCCAUAUGCGAUGCGAUGCCAGCACUGCGGGUAGCAGUUUUACCUGCUACGCCACAGUGCCGCCCCCCUUUAAAAUAUUUAUUUAUUUGAAAGUUAGAGUUACACAGAGAGAGAAGGAGAGGCAGAGAGAGAGAGGCAGAGAGAGAGAGAGAGAUGGUUUUAUUGAAUCUUUUUUAUGUUCUAGAACAGCAUCCCAGCAUGAAUUAUUUUAUAUGGUAUGCUUAUACUUUUACACAUGAGUCUGUGGUGUUUGAAAUGUAAACAGAGGAAUAAAUAUUCAACCCGUGAGCUAUAACCAGAAGCAUCUUGAUUUUGUCCCUCUGCUCACUGGGGCAGUGUUUCCCUUGUCCAUGCACAGAGUCAAGCUAUCUGUAUCUUUUCUUUUUUUCUAAGUAUAUUUAUUUAUUUACUUAUUUAUUUAUGUUUGAAAAGUAGAGUGACAAAAAGAGAGAUAGUUUCUUCAAUGUGUUAUUUCAUUCCCCCAAACACCCACAACAGCCACGGUUGGGCCAGGAUGAAGUCAGGAGCCAGGAACUUCACCUUGGUUGAGCCAGUCAACCCACCUGGAUGACAGAGACCCAGGAUACUUGACCCAUUACCUGCUGUCUCCCAGGGUGUGCAUUAGCAGGAACUUGGAUCGGAAGCUGAGGUGGGACUUAAUCCCAGGCACUCUGAUAGGGGAUGCCAGCCUUGCAAGUGGCAGUCUAACCCCCUGCACCACAAUGCCAGCCCCUACGUGGCCUUCUUUUAUUCUCUUACAUUUAACAUACUCACUUCUUUCACUGCAGCUCAUAUUCACGGCUGCUCUAACUGCUCAGACACCUGCCUAACAGCUUAUCCUUCAGACCUCAUGCCAAACAGAAGCUCCUCAGGACUGUUUCCUCUACGUCCACCCCUCUCCCCAACAAGCCAUAUAUCUCCCUACCUAGGGGUCUCAUAGCACAAUCUUCUUCUCUUAUAGUGCUUCCAAGUCAUACUUCUAAUAUUUUUUUUGAUUAAUGGCUAUCUUUCCCCAAGUGUGUAAAUUCCACGGAGUAAGAGCUGCACUUCCCCUCAUUGUUGUAUUAGUGUGGACCUGCCACAUAUAAUAGGUACCCAUCGAAUAUUUGUACAAGGAGCACAUGAAUUAACAAUGAAUGAAUGAUGCCAGGAAAGAAAAUCCGAGCAUGGCCUGAAAGACUUGGUUCUAAAACACUGCCACUAGAUGGCAGCAGCAACCAGCAGUAAGGUUGCUGAAGCCUCUAAGUACAGAGGUUUGAGUUUCAGAUGCCAGGACUCACAGGGCAUUUCUUCACUCAUCUCUGUCAGUCCUCCCUUACUGAUAAUAGGGAUAGUUCACGUGUGUGAGUGUGUUAGGCAGCAAAUAAUAGAAACUCCAAGAAACUCAACAGUGGAUCAGAAGACACAUUUUUCUUUUUUCUUGACCUUUAUUCAGUGUCAUUGUGACAUAUAACCCCACUAGUCCACUUACAGAAUGGAUUCAGACUUAGGAAGAGCAGCAAAAGUGAGACUUUACUAAGGAUCUUGCAGGAUCUGGUGGCUGGUGGGCCAGCACACCUAGUGUGGUUUCAACAAGCGAUUUAUUCCCUGUUAUGCAGGUGCCUCCCCGGGUUCCUCAUUAGCUGACUCUGGAGUUUUACAAUCUUCCUGGCACUUGCUUCAGCUGUUUUGGCCACUCCUAACAUCUGUUUGCCUAUGAACUUUCCCGGUGCAUAUAACGUAGCUGUGAUGCUAGCUAGCUACGUGUCACUUUUCACAUGUCUGCAAGCAGUUAGGCUAGCCGCUUGUCUACUCAAAGCUUUGAAAGUGUUUACUGCUCGCAUCAUGAUCAGACUAUUACAUUUAGAAAUCAAUAAACAUGGGUGCAAAAAAACCCCACCAAACUACAUUAAAAACUGUAGUUGGUUGGAACGCUUUAUGCUUUCCACAGAAGAGAAACUAAAAUAACCUGUUACACAGUUAGUCACAAAUACAGCCCUCAAGGGUUUUCUUUCAUUUUGUUUUGCCAAAAACAUGAGUAUUACCUAAAACAUGUCUUUCUCUGUGGCAGCUAGGUUCUGCCACCACCAUGUUUUGCUUAGUUCACAAAUACAUUGCAACUUGUAGCUUCUCUGUCACUUCUUUGGCUGUUCUCUUUUGCUAAGAUUUGUUUCCUGGUGGUUAUCAAAACCUUUUGUCACUGCCAUAGCUUCUGCUGUGGAACUGCCAUCGCCUCCUUGGUUUGUGGUAUGGCCAAGUGUUGGUCUCUACCACCAACUGGACAGAGCUUCUGUUGUCAAAGUUGCCUCCUUUCAUAGGUCCAAAAUUUGAAGACUUAACUGCCGAAAUCAUGGUAGCUUUCUUUUUUUUAAUUUUUAAAAUUUUUUUGACAGGCAGAGUGGACAGUGAGAGAGAAAGAGACAGAAAGAAAGGUCUUCCUUUGCCAAUGGUUCACCCUCCAAUGGCCGCCGUGGCCAGUGCACUGCGGCUGGUGCACCGCACUGAUCCAAUGGCAGGAGCCAGGUACUUAUCCUGGUCUCCCAUGGGGUGCAGGACCCAAGGACUUGGGCCAUCCUCCACUGCACUCCCUGGCCUGGAAGAAGGGCAACCGGGACAGAAUCCGGCGCCCCGACUGGGACUAGAACCCAGUGUGCUGGCGCUGCAAGGCGGAGGAUUAGCCUAGUGAGCCGCGGCGCUGGCCCACGGUAGCUUUCAUUCCCUCCACAACUGCUUCUAUCUUUACCAUAUCUGUUGUGGUCAUCCCCACUGCCAGCAUAUCCACCACUACCAGGACUGCCACCAAAGCCACCAUGACCACUGAAGUUUCCUCCAAAAUCAAAGGAUCGUUCCCACCAAAACCACUUCCACACCUGCCACCGAAGUAUCCAGAACUACUCCGGCGUGCUUGGCUGGACGAAGGACUGGCCACCUCAGGCUCUGACAGAACUUUCCUGACCUCACAGUCGUGGCCGUUCACAGAUGGCGUUUCUGAAUGACGAUCUUAGCCACAGAAUCUUAGUGUCCAAGACGGUAAAAAACAAGCUCCUCUCUUUGCCACUGGCUUGAUGGGGGCAGAUGCCAAAGUACAGAGAUGCAUGUCAAGAAUGAAGAUCCAUGGCUUUUGUUCUGCCUUGACCCCCACGGCAGUGCCCGGGUGAUGAGGUGCACGAUAAGUAACCAUUCAUCAAUCCGUGACGUCUCAGAUUUAAGGUCACCAGGUGGGUAACAAUCUCACCGAACUGAAUGAUGGUGUAGCGGCACAGCUCACUCAAGGACCCACCAGCGAUAGCAUCAGCGAAGCUGCUUCAGCAUCGCGAGCAUCCUCGAACAGCAUGAGCAAAUCCUGGAUGGCGAGUGCAGAGAUCAAGUGGAACACACACAUCAACUCUCUGACUGUAGCGACCAAACGUGAGCCACACAUCUUCAGAGGUGGUGUUGUCCGCCACGUUCCUGACCACGAGAGGUGCUGGGCGCAGGGCUCAGGUUGUAUGUGUGGGUUGGGGAACUCAGGCAGCAGGACCAGACAGAGGCGAGAGUGUCCGCCAGGGGCACUAAGGCGUUCGGCAAACCCUUUGUGGCCGAACCUCACAGCCGCAGCCACAGCACUCCGCCAACGGCGGCCUCUUACUAACUCAUCAACAAGGGACCCCUUGUUUGUAUUUCGCACUGGGUCCCAUAGAUGUGUAGUUGAUCCUCACUAGGAUAAUUACAGAAUCGCUGAUGUUAUAGAAGAGAGCCCGUAAUUCAGGGAACCCACAAGCUGAGGGGAUGCUGCAUUUGGGCAGUGAGGUAGGAUGGAUUUCGGAAGGGAGGAGGUUGUUUAAUAACAAGAUCCAUCUCCAGGACAGUGAUUCUGGCAGAGGGAACGAGGUGGGCCUAAGCACAGGGGUCAGGGAGCCUGCAAGAUGGGGCUACCAAGUGGACUUUGGUACUGCUGGAACCUACCGUACCACUAGGGGGCGCCCAGGGAGAGUUGACGCGUGCGUGUGGGUCAGAUCCCGAGAGGGAAGGUACUGCCUGCCCCGCAGGAGAUGAAUCAGAUCUCUCAACUCUGUUCCUUGAGGAUUGCAGCAGAGUCGUUCUGUUCAGAGACUCAGGCCACACAGACCUGCCUAUCAGGAAAGGAUUCCGGGAACAGGAUAAAUCGAUUUGCCUUUCCAGUGUCCACCUCUUUAAGUACCAAUAAACUGUUCAAAUAAAAAGACGCUUGGCAUGUGUCAAGAUUUGCUAGCCUGGAACAGGAUGGUCCAAAUGGCCUCUGUGCUAAACUUUGCUGGGCUUGACCUCUUAGAGGGGCCCAGAUGAGUUGCCAGGGACAUUAGUCGUGGUAGGCUGAAUAAUGGCUGCCCAAGGAUGUCCAUUUCUGGAACCUGCAAAUAGAUUGCCUUGGACAGAACAGGGACUUCAUGGAAAUGAGUCAGGAUUUCGAGAUGGGGAGAUGAUCCUGGAUUAUCCCUGUAGGCCCAGUGUAACCACAGGGUUCUUAUAAGAAGGCAGCAGGGGGGUCAAAGUGAGUAGCAAGAGAUUGGCAAGGCCUAAGGAACGGGCCACCAGCCAAGGAGUGCAGGUGGAUCUGCACAGGGCAGGGAAUGCGUGAGCCUCUGAAGGCUGCAGAAGGAACCCAGCCUCACCUCAGAAUCAUCUCGAUUUCAGGCUUCUCAUCUCCAGAACGGCAGGAGAACACAUUCGUUUAGUUUAAGCUCCUCAGUUUGUGGGAAUUUAUUAACACAGUGAUAGGAAAAUAAUACAGGCCUUUAGCAAUUAUUCAAAGUUAUUUUUUAAAGUUCUAUUUUCGUGUAUGCUUAUAAUAAGCAUGAGAUAGUAAUACAAUUUAUGUCUAUACUCACUCAGUUUAAAAAUAAGUGAUUACAUAGAUUAGAGAUCUUGUUGAUAUGAAUGAUAGAUGUGUGCAUGUUCAAAAAUUUUUAGAUUUCUGGUAUAAAAAUGGGAGCAACAGAAGUCCAGAUGUAAUAUAACUUAAUACUCAAAUAUUUGGCAUUAAUAUAUGUAUAUUAGUUACAAGGAAUAGCAGUCUAGAUGUGACUAUGCAAGCACCAGUAAUCACAAAAGAAAGAGAAUAUGACUCAAGCAGCUGGAAAUGUUUUCCGUACUUUUGGUAGUUUCCUUAAUACAGCUUAUACAAGUAAAAAUUCAGAAAAAGAAAAUUCUGUAUUAUAGUCUAUUCAUUUGCCUAAUAUGCUGUAGGGCAUAUAUGCUUGGACUAAGAAUUCUAUGUUGCUUUUCACAUGUAUCAACAUAGGGCCACAGAAGACUAUUUCCAUGAAAAACUUACCUUAAUGUUACUCAAGAAUGCUGUAGCUAUUUUGAAAUAUUUUUGAUCCUAAACUCAUUACAUCAGAGAUCAUUAAGCAAGGUCAAGAAUUAGUCUUUUUCUGGAAUAUAUCCUGGCAAAAUUUAUUAUUUUUUCAUCAAAAUGCAUUAUCUUGCUUUCUAUUUUUUAGAAUAUAUUUUUUAAAUUAUACAAGUUUCAUAUAUUUCCUUUAUACCAUUUUAGGAACAUAGUAGCACUUCCCCCUCUACCCUCCCUCCCACCCACACUCCAGCCCUUCCUCCCCCUCCCUCUCAGAUUCUCACUCUUAAUUUUUACAAUGAUCUGUUUUCAGUACACUUAAUGAUCGUAUAGUUAACCCUACCCUAAGUAAAAGAGUUCAACAAAUAGUAUGAACAGAAAACAAAAUAAAACACUGUUCCUUAACCAAAGAGACAAGGGCUACAAACAAUCUUUGCUCCUCAAAAUGUCUAUUUCACUCCAAUACAUUAUACUUCAGGUACUCUGUUACCUCCAGUCAGGGAAAACGUAUGAUGUCUGUCUUUUGGGGACUGGCUUAUUUCGCUAAGUAUAAUGGCUUCCAGUUGGGACCCUCUUGCUGCAAAAGACAGGAUUUUAUUGUUUUACAGCUUAGUACUCCAUAGUGUAUAUCUACCAUAAAGUCUUUAUCCAGUCAUCAGUUGAUGGGCAUCUGGGUUGAUUCCAUAUCAGCUGUUGUUAUUGUGCUGCAAUGAACAUGGAUGGGGGUACAGAUAACUCUUUCAUAUACUGAUUUCUUUCAGUUUCGGUAAAUUCCCAGGAGUGGGAUGGCUGAAUCAUAUGGUAGGUCUAUAUUCUGAUUUCUGAGGCACCUCCAUACCGUCUUCCACCAUGGUUGCACCAGUUUAGAUUCCCACCAAAAGUGUGCCAGGGUGGAAAAAUUUGUGAAAAUAGUUAUAUGGACAGAAAUUACUCCAUAACUUUAAAAUAGUGUUGGGCUGAAAAAAAAGUAGACAGUGCUAGGGUCCAGAUAAGAAGUGAAAGUACUAAGAAUAAGAACUGGGGUUGGUGCUAUGGUGUAGUAGCUUAAGUCUUCACCUGUGGCACUGGCAUCCCAAAUGUGUGCAUUCAAGUCCAGGCUGCUCUACUUUCCAUCCAACUUCCUGCUCGUGGCCUGGGAAAGCAGCAGACAGCCCAAAUGCUUGGCCCCUGUGCCCAUGUGGGAGAUCCAGAGGAACCUCCUGGCUCCUGGCUUCAGACCAGCUUCAGAUCCGGCUGUUGUGGCCAUUUGGGGAGUGAACCAGCAGAUGGAAGACCUUUCUAUCUCUUCUGUUUCUCAAAUAACAUGAGUUGUCAUUUGCAUUUAAAGCACAAUGGUGGAUUCCCAUGGGAACAUUUUCUCUAUAUGGAUUUAUUUAAAAACUGGCCUUGGGAAUGAAAAGAAGUGGGCUCAUUUUGUCAUCAGGAUUUAAGAAGAAACAAACAGAAACCAAGGUUCAGAGCAAUAAGCACCAUUCCCAAGUGGAUGAGAAACUCACUCUGGGGAAAGCCAGUUGCCAGGUGAGAAAUUUGCCAUGCUGGAGGGGCUGCAUGAAUAUGCUGUGGUUCACGUCUGAGUUUUUGGCCAACCAUGAGCCAGCAUCCACACUCAGUCACAUGGAGAGCC